rnacentral:rRNA from 1 species
CCUACGGGCGGCAGCAGUAGGGAAUUUUCGUCAAUGGGCGCAAGCCUGAACGAGCAAUGCCGCGUGAACGAGGAAGGUCUUCGGAUCGUAAAGUUCUGUUGAAGGGGAAAAAGAGCGGAGAGAGGAAAUGGUCUCCGAUUGAUAUUACCCUUCGAGGAAGUCACGGCUAACUACGUGCCAGCAGCCGCGGUAAUACGGAGGAUGCGAGCGUUAUCCGGAUUUAUUGGGUUUAAAGGGUGCGCAGGCGGAGGCACAAGUCAGCGGUAAAAUCGCGGGGCUCAACCCCGCUCCGCCGUUGAAACUGUGUCCCUUGAGUGCGCGAAGGGUAGGCGGAAUGCGUGGUGUAGCGGUGAAAUGCAUAGAUAGCACGCAGAACUCCGAUCGCGAAGGCAGCCUACCGGCGCGCAACUGACGCUCAUGCACGAAAGCGUGGGUAUCGAACAGGAUUAGAUACCCGAGUAGUC